rnacentral:rRNA from 1 species
UGCCAGCAGCCGCGGUAAUACGGAGGGUGCAAGCGUUGUCCGGAUUUAUUGGGUUUAAAGGGUGCGUAGGCGGCCUUUUAAGUCAGUGGUGAAAUGUGUCGGCUCAACCGGCAACGUGCCAUUGAUACUGAUUAGCUAGAGUGUUGUAUAGGUGGGCGGAAUUGAUGGUGUAGCGGUGAAAUGCAUAGAUACCAUCAAGAACACCGAUUGCGAAGGCAGCUUACUAAGCUACGAUUGACGCUGAGGCACGAAAGCGUGGGGAGCGAACAGGAUUAGAUA